rnacentral:rRNA from 1 species
AUGGACAGCGUGGUCAGCGCCUACAAGGUGCCAUGCCCGUACAAGCAGCACGGCUGCGCGAGCUCCAUCGUGUACCACGCGGCGGCGGACCACAAGGCCAAGUGCGCGCACGCGCCCUGCUACUGCUUGGAGUGCACGCCCCCGUUCGAGGGCUCGCCGGCGGACCUCCUGCGCCACCUCACGGCGCCGUCCGGGAAACACUCCUGGCCCACGGAGAAGAUCAAAUACGAGUCGAGCCACCCGCUCGUCGUGCAGGCGCCGUCGGGGGAUUACCGCUGCCUGCUGGUCGCAGAGGACGGCAUCGUGUUCCUCCUGGCCGUGGGCGCCGGCAGGGGCCCGGCCGGGCGCCGCCCCGUCAACGUCGUGUGCGUCAGGGGCAACGCCGACGCCGACACGAGGCCGCUGUACACAGGCGUGCUCUGGGUGGAUGGGCCCCUGGCCGCCCCCGGCCACCUCAGGGGCAGUGUCCAGGUGAAAGGGGACGUGGCGAACUGCUCCGUCCCGGGCGAGGUGGACAUGGAACAAGGCUGGCUCCAUGCGCAUGUCAACCCCAACAUGCUGCACGGAGAGUCCGGCGAGGUUCAUCUGCGCCUCCGUAUAACCAAGUUCCCAUGA